GUGGGGAAUUUUGGACAAUGGGCGCAAGCCUGAUCCAGCAAUGCCGCGUGCAGGAUGAAGGCCUUCGGGUUGUAAACUGCUUUUGUACGGAACGAAACGGCGAGCUCUAAUACAGUUUGCUAAUGACGGUACCGUAAGAAUAAGCACCGGCUAACUACGUGCCAGCAGCCGCGGUAAUACGUAGGGUGCGAGCGUUAAUCGGAAUUACUGGGCGUAAAGCGUGCGCAGGCGGUUUUGUAAGACAGGUGUGAAAUCCCCGGGCUUAACCUGGGAACUGCAUUUGUGACUGCAAGGCUGGAGUACGGCAGAGGGGGAUGGAAUUCCGCGUGUAGCAGUGAAAUGCGUAGAUAUGCGGAGGAACACCGAUGGCGAAGGCAAUCCCCUGGGCCUGUACUGACGCUCAUGCACGAAAGCGUGGGGAGCAAACAGGAUUAGAUACCCUUGUAGUCC
rnacentral:rRNA from 1 species